GCACGCUUAGCUCAGUGGUAGAGCGACUCUUUGACGUAGAGUAGGCCGGGGGUUCGAUCCCCUCAGCGUGCA
rnacentral:tRNA from 1 species